rnacentral:lncRNA from 1 species
GGGGUUUUAUUCAUUCAGAUUUCUAUUCUAUCUCUUCUUUCUUACAUCUCUCUUCCUAUUGUCUAAUUAGUCUCUUUCUUUUCUUAUUAGGAUAAGUCCUAAAAUUAUAAGGACAAGUCUGAUUUUAGGACAAGGGCCUAGGAAGAGAUAUAAGAAAGAUAAGAAGACAAGAAAGGUAGAGAUAGGAAGACUAGGAGGAGAGGAAGAAGGCCUUGAGGUUUUGCUACCCAAAGAAAUUCUCAGAGUGAGAAUUUUAGAGGAGAAAUCAUCCUAAGGAG